CAGCAGCCACGGUAAUACGAAGGGUGCAAGCGUUAAUCGGAAUUACUGGGCGUAAAGCGUGCGUAGGCGGUUUGUUAAGUCUGUUGUGAAAUCCCCGGGCUCAACCUGGGAAUGGCAAUGGAUACUGGCAAGCUAGAGUGUGUCAGAGGAUGGUGGAAUUCCCGGUGUAGCGGUGAAAUGCGUAGAGAUCGGGAGGAACAUCAGUGGCGAAGGCGGCCAUCUGGGACAACACUGACGCUGAGGCACGAAAGCGUGGGGAGCAAACAGGAUUAGAGACCCCCGUAGUCCCUGUCUCUUAUAC
rnacentral:rRNA from 1 species